ACACACUUUGCUUUCUAAUCUGUUUUUCUAUAUUUUUUUCAAUUACUUAUUAGGAGGAACUGAAGUGUUGGUCUAACCUUUUUUUUUUCCUUCUUUCUUUUAUUUUUUAGUGUGUCAUUAAUGCAAGAUUGUUUUGAAACGGUAAUCAAGAAGAAGUUGGGUUGCUUUGAAUUUGGAAAAAAGUUUCAUGUUUGGUCUGCUUUGAGCUUGGAUUUGAAUAAUUUUGGUUGGUUAGAAGAUGGAAGAGAUGUUUCCAGCACUUACUGUAUCAUAUAAACAGGGAAAAUUGAUAUAUGAUGAAUCAGUAUUACCCACAUGUAUUGACUUCGCUGAAUAUGAGCUGAUCCCGAAUACGACUAGCUUGCUAUCAGAACCUAACAAGUGCAAACUUCCUUGUUCGGUGUCGAAUCAUAGUGUGUCCAGGGACAAAGCUAACCUCUUUAUGACAGUUGCUGAUUGCCAUGAAAUCAGGAAAGGGAAGAGUUUUUCUUCGACAGUUGUAGCUAAUGGGAAUUGUUUGAUUGCUAGUGAGGUAAAAGAUGGUAGAUCUAUGGACAACAAUUUGAUUUCACCAACUGAUGAGCUUUUAGGAAAUAUGACUUGUUCUGAUUCUCUAGUGGAUGAGUGUGGCGGCAUGCCUAACCAAGAAUGUACAGAUUUGGAGGUUAAAGUUGGGAGAACUCCUCCUCGGAAUGAAGACAAGAAGGUUGGUGUAUCCCAGAUUCUGAGGAAGUCUUUUUCGUGUAAUUUGGCUAAAGAGUUGGUUAAUGAGUCAGAACUUGUAAGUGAUCUUGUUUCCACUAUGGUUGUGGGUGCUGAAGAUUAUAAAAGAAAAUUAUCACCAUCCCAUCUUGAGACCUCACAAGAGAUAAAGAUAAGUAGGCCAAAUGCCUUUUGUUUUGAUUCUGUACCGCUUUGGGGGAUCAUCACGAUACAAGGAAAGAGGCCGGAGAUGGAAGAUACUGCUAUAGCUUUACCAAGGUUUCUGAGAAUCCCUUCCCAUAUUUUGACGGAUGCGCCAGUUUCUCAUGCCCUGAGUCAAACACUUACAGCCCAUUUAUAUGGGGUUUAUGAUGGACAUGGAGGCUCUCAGCAGGUUGCUAAUUAUUGUCAUGAGCGUCUCCAUAUGGUUUUAGCACAGGAGAUAGAUAUUAUGAAAGAGGAUUCACAUAAUGGAAGUGUUAACUGGAAGGAGCAAUGGUCAAAGGCUUUCUUGAAUUGUUUCUGUAGAGUCGAUGAUGAGGUAGGAGGGUUCUGUAGUGAAACAGACGGGAUUGAGCCUGACCUUUCAGUCAUUGCUCCCGAAGCAGUUGGAUCUACAGCUGUAGUUGCAGUUGUUAGUCCAACCCAUAUUAUUGUUGCUAAUUGUGGUGAUUCAAGGGCAGUCCUUUGUCGGGGAAAACUGCCCAUGCCAUUAUCCAUUGACCAUAAGCCAAAUAGGGAAGAUGAGUGUUCACGAAUAGAAGAAUUGGGAGGGAAGGUCAUUAAUUGGGAUGGACAUCGCGUUUCUGGUGUUCUUGCAGUUUCAAGGUCAAUUGGUAUGUAUAUUGUACUAGCCACACCUGCAAAUUUCAUUGUACUGCUGUAUUUUUACUGGAGAGGGUUAAGAAAGUCAUCUAUAUUGUGCUUGAUUUGCACAUGGAAAUAAAGGAAUCUCAAAGCUACGAUGGAGCAGACCUGCACAUGUACCAAAAUUAAAGUGUUAUACCAUACAUAUAUAGUGUCAAAGUUCAUCCCUGAAGCAGCCCACUGAUGUUGGAUAACGACGUCUGACUUCAGUUGACAUGGUGAUAGAUAUUUAAGGCCUUAUGUGAUUCCAGAUCCAGAAAUGAUGUUUGUACCCCGAGCAAAAGAAGACGACUGUCUAAUUUUAGCAAGUGAUGGCCUAUGGGAUGUCUUGACAAAUGAAGAAGCUUGUGAUGUGGCCCGGAGACGAAUUCUUCUCUGGCACAAAAAGAAUGGUGGUACUUUGAGUAGCGAAAGGGGUGAAAAUGUUGAUCCUGCUGCUCAGGAUGCUGCAGAGUACUUGACACGAGUUGCUCUCCAAAGGGGGAGCAGAGAUAAUAUAUCUGUGAUUGUGGUCGACUUGAAAGCACAGAGGAAAUUCAAGAAGAAAACGUAGCGCACUAAACCAUCCUCGUAUUUCAUUUUGUGGAUGUAACAUUGGAAACUUAUCGUUCAGGAUGAUAAUCAAAUCAAAUGGUACUCAUGUUGCAGAUUUUAGCUUCCUUUUUAAUUAGGCUGUUACCGUACAUGAUGGAAGUUAUUCUGACAAUAAAAAUUCAGCAAAGUUGGUUCAAAGAACAAACUACUGACUCCCAGCAGAUUAUUUAUGUCACUAUAGUAUAAUGUUGUCUCCCAGAA